AGUGAACGCUGGCGGCGUGCCUAAUACAUGCAAGUCGAACGAAGUGGCGCACGGGUGAGUAAUAUAUAGUUAAUCUGCCCUACACAGAGGAACAACAGUUUGAAACGGCUGCGCAUACAUCGUAGUGUAGGAUGAGACUAUAUCUUAUCAGCUAGUUGGUAAGGUAAUGGCUUACCAAGGCUAUGACGCGUAACUUGUCUGAGAGGAUGAUCAGUGACAUUUGAACUGAGACACGGUCCAAACUCCUACGGGAGGCAGCAGUAAGGGAUCUUGCGAAAUGGGGGGAACCCUGACGCAGCUACGCUGCGUGGAGGAUGAAACUUUUGGGAGCGUAAACUCCUUUUAUCAGGAAAGCGGUACCUGAUGAAUAAGCACCGGCUAACUCCGUGCCAGCAGCCGCGGUAAUAC
rnacentral:rRNA from 1 species